rnacentral:rRNA from 1 species
UACGGAGGAUCCAAGCGUUAUCCGGAAUCAUUGGGUUUAAAGGGUCCGUAGGCGGUUUAAUAAGUCAGUGGUGAAAGCCCAUCGCUCAACGGUUGAGGUGCCAUUGAUACUGUUAGACUUGAAUUAUUAGGAAGUAACUAGAAUAUGUAGUGUAGCGGUGAAAUGCUUAGAGAUUACAUGGAAUACCAAUUGCGAAGGCAGGUUACUACUAAUGGAUUGACGCUGAUGGACGAAAGCGUGGGUAGCGAACAGG